rnacentral:tRNA from 1 species
UGUAAGAAAGACUAAGGGAUAGUCUUCGGGUUCAU